rnacentral:rRNA from 1 species
AACGAACGCUGGCGGCAUGCCUAACACAUGCAAGUCGAACGAGACCUUCGGGUCUAGUGGCGCACGGGUGCGUAACGCGUGGGAACCUGCCCUUAGGUUCGGAAUAACUCCCCGAAAGGGGUGCUAAUACCGGAUAAUGUCUUCGGACCAAAGAUUUAUCGCCUUUGGGUGGGCCCGCGUUGGAUUCGCUAGUUGGUAGGGUAAAAGCCUACCAAGGCGACGAUGCAUAGCUGGUCUGAGAGGAUGAUCAGCCACACUGGGACUGAGACACGGCCCAGACUGCUACGGGAGGGAGCAGUGGGGAACAUUGGACAAUGGGCGAAAGCCUGAUCCAGCAAUGCCGCGUGAGUGAUGAAGGCCUUAGGGUUGUAAAGCUCUUUUACCCGGGAUGAUAAUGACAGUACCGGGAGAAUAAGCACCGGCUAACUACGUG